rnacentral:rRNA from 1 species
AUUGAACGCUGGCGGCAGGCCUAACACAUGCAAGUCGAACGAGUGGCGGACGGGUGAGUAAUGUCUGGGAAACUGUCUGCUGGGGGGGGAGAACUCUAGGAAACGGUAGCUAAUACCGCAUACUAUAUGAUGUGUCCAGAUGGGAUUAGAUCGUGGGUGGGGUAACGGCUCACCUAGGCGACGAUCCCUAGCUGGUCUGAGAGGAUUACCAGCCACACUGGAACUGAGACACGGUCCAGACUCCUACGGGAGGCAGCAGUGGGGAAUAUUGCACAAUGGGCGCAAGCCUGAUGCAGCCAUGCCGCGUGUAUGAAGAAGGCCUUCGGGUUGUAAAGUACUUUCAGCGGGGAGGCGUUACUCGCAGAAGAAGCACCGGCUAACUCCGUGCCAGCAGCCGCGGUAAUAC